GGAUAAACCUCUUAUUUCCCCCCCCUAAACUGGCCGGAGUCACUUGCUGUUGGAGUCCUUGAUUCACGUGGGUCCUGAACUGAAUAGAGAGAGUGGCAGGACGCGGACAUUUUCGGAGGCGGCAUGGUGACUGUGGUAGCCUUUACGUGAAUCUCCCUAUGACGUCACAGAAC
rnacentral:lncRNA from 14 species